GUUACUGUUAACUGAAUACAUAGGUUAACAGAGCAAACCGGGGGAACUGAAACAUCUAAGUACCCCGAGGAGAAGAAAUCAACCGAGAUUCCGGUAGUAGCGGCGAGCGAACCUGGAUUAGCCCUUAAGCACUCGGUGAAGUAGGUGAACAAGCUGGAAAGCUUGGCGAUACAGGGUGAUAGCCCCGUAACCGACGCUUCAUCGAGCGUGAAAUCGAGUAGGGCGGGACACGUGAUAUCCUGUCUGAAUAUGGGGGGACCAUCCUCCAAGGCUAAAUACUCCUGACUGACCGAUAGUGAACCAGUACCGUGAGGGAAAGGCGAAAAGAACCCCUGUGAGGGGAGUGAAAUAGAACCUGAAACCGUGUACGUACAAGCAGUAGGAGCACCUUCGUGGUGUGACUGCGUACCUUUUGUAUAAUGGGUCAGCGACUUAUAUUCAGUGGCAAGGUUAACCGUAUAGGGGAGCCGUAGCGAAAGCGAGUCUUAACUGGGCGCUCAGUCUCUGGAUAUAGACCCGAAACCGGGUGAUCUAGCCAUGGGCAGGUUGAAGGUUGAGUAACAUCAACUGGAGGACCGAACCGACUAAUGUUGAAAAAUUAGCGGAUGACUUGUGGCUAGGGGUGAAAGGCCAAUCAAACUCGGAGAUAGCUGGUUCUCCCCGAAAGCUAUUUAGGUAGCGCCUCGGACGAAUACUACUGGGGGUAGAGCACUGUUAAGGCUAGGGGGUCAUCCCGACUUACCAACCCUUUGCAAACUCCGAAUACCAGUAAGUACUAUCCGGGAGACACACGGCGGGUGCUAACGUCCGUCGUGGAGAGGGAAACAACCCAGACCGCCAGCUAAGGUCCCAAAGUAUUGCUAAGUGGGAAACGAUGUGGGAAGGCUCAGACAGCUAGGAUGUUGGCUUAGAAGCAGCCAUCAUUUAAAGAAAGCGUAAUAGCUCACUAGUCGAGUCGGCCUGCGCGGAAGAUGUAACGGGGCUAAGCAAUACACCGAAGCUGCGGCAAUAUCUUUUAGAUAUUGGGUAGGGGAGCGUUCUGUAAGCCGUUGAAGGUGAAUCGUAAGGUUUGCUGGAGGUAUCAGAAGUGCGAAUGCUGACAUGAGUAACGACAAAGGGGGUGAAAAACCUCCUCGCCGGAAGACCAAGGGUUCCUGUCCAACGUUAAUCGGGGCAGGGUGAGUCGACCCCUAAGGUGAGGCCGAAAGGCGUAAUCGAUGGGAAACGGGUUAAUAUUCCCGUACUUCUGACUAUUGCGAUGGGGGGACGGAGAAGGCUAGGUGGGCCAGGCGACGGUUGCCCUGGUUCAAGUGCGUAGGCUUGAGAGUUAGGUAAAUCCGGCUCUCUCUAAGGCUGAGACACGACGUCGAGCUGCUACGGCAGUGAAGUCAUUGAUGCCAUGCUUCCAGGAAAAGCCUCUAAGCUUCAGAUAGUCAGGAAUCGUACCCCAAACCGACACAGGUGGUCGGGUAGAGAAUACCAAGGCGCUUGAGAGAACUCGGGUGAAGGAACUAGGCAAAAUGGUACCGUAACUUCGGGAGAAGGUACGCUCUUGAUGGUGAAGUCCCUCGCGGAUGGAGCUGACGAGAGUCGCAGAUACCAGGUGGCUGCAACUGUUUAUUAAAAACACAGCACUGUGCAAAAUCGCAAGAUGACGUAUACGGUGUGACGCCUGCCCGGUGCCGGAAGGUUAAUUGAUGGGGUUAGCGCAAGCGAAGCUCUUGAUCGAAGCCCCGGUAAACGGCGGCCGUAACUAUAACGGUCCUAAGGUAGCGAAAUUCCUUGUCGGGUAAGUUCCGACCUGCACGAAUGGCGUAAUGAUGGCCACGCUGUCUCCACCCGAGACUCAGUGAAAUUGAAAUCGCUGUGAAGAUGCAGUGUACCCGCGGCUAGACGGAAAGACCCCGUGAACCUUUACUACAGCUUGGCACUGAACAUUGAACCUACAUGUGUAGGAUAGGUGGGAGGCUAUGAAGACGUGACGCCAGUUGCGUUGGAGCCGUCCUUGAAAUACCACCCUUGUAUGUUUGAUGUUCUAACUUAGACCCAUUAUCUGGGUUGAGGACAGUGCCUGGUGGGUAGUUUGACUGGGGCGGUCUCCUCCCAAAGAGUAACGGAGGAGCACGAAGGUGGGCUAAUCACGGUUGGACAUCGUGAGGUUAGUGCAAUGGCAUAAGCCCGCUUAACUGCGAGAAUGACGGUUCGAGCAGGUGCGAAAGCAGGUCAUAGUGAUCCGGUGGUUCUGUAUGGAAGGGCCAUCGCUCAACGGAUAAAAGGUACUCCGGGGAUAACAGGCUGAUACCGCCCAAGAGUUCAUAUCGACGGCGGUGUUUGGCACCUCGAUGUCGGCUCAUCACAUCCUGGGGCUGAAGUCGGUCCCAAGGGUAUGGCUGUUCGCCAUUUAAAGUGGUACGCGAGCUGGGUUUAGAACGUCGUGAGACAGUUCGGUCCCUAUCUGCCGUGGGCGUUGGAAGAUUGAAGGGGGCUGCUCCUAGUACGAGAGGACCGGAGUGGACGAACCUCUGGUGUUCGGGUUGUGUCGCCAGACGCAUUGCCCGGUAGCUAAGUUCGGAAUUGAUAAGCGCUGAAAGCAUCUAAGCGCGAAGCGAGCCCUGAGAUGAGUCUUCCC
rnacentral:rRNA from 1 species